rnacentral:misc_RNA from 1 species
UCCGCUACCCUCGAUGGGGAG